CACGUAUCAAAAACUAGAAGACCACACACAAGGUGACCUCACCCGUAUUAAAAUUUUCCGCAUAGCAGGCUCUGUAAGCAAAAAAAAAAAAAAAUGUUUUUGGGAGUUGGGUCGAAGUUCGAGUAGCGGGUGGUAUUCGUAUCUGACACUGAAAUCCAAUUUUAGGUUUGUUCAAAAAUAUGUAUAAUGGACUCUGCAGAGCAAAAGAGAGGCCAAGAACUAGCCAAAUCAUCAUCUUUCUACCGCAGGAUAUAUUCAGAGGUAGAAGAGAUAGGAUGGGAGCACCUUGUUAGAUUUGGGGAAGAUUUGAGACUUCUCAGCUUUCGCAUCAAGUAAGGUCUCUUUUAUCUUUCAACACAAUAGUUGGGUUAAAUGAGGAAGGGUAGGUUUUGGUUUAAUGAACGAAGCGGGUAUAGAUUGCUUCCCUUGUUUGGUAGGAAUUAUAAGAGGAGGGAGGUUAAAAUGGAGGAUAUCCAUCCCCUCCAUGUUAUUUUUCUGAUGUUGCAGAAUUGGACGAUACAACAACAUACCUAGUGCAAAGUAGGGUUUGUGGAGGGUAGAGUAUAUGCAGACCUUACCUCCACCUCAGAGGUGAUGUUGCAAAAUUGGACGAUAAGGAAGUAAAAUAGGGGGCUAUCCAACCUCUCCAUGUGAGCUUUUCCAACUCAUGCAGAUUGGAUGA